AACCAUGACUUUAGAGUGGUGGUUUCCAGUGUUAUGUAAUGUGUGCUCCAUUCGGUAAAGCGCAGUGACUCGUGGCGUUAUUUAUUGAGGAGGGCGCUAGCGUGGCAAGUGACGAUGAUAAGUUAAUCGCCUCACAUUCUCCUACACGUCGACCGGCAUAAUAUUAUCAUUAAUAUUGAUACUUAAAAGGUUCCGGAACGGAUUAAUUGAGUCCCGGAGCACGUGGAGUCCAAAAUCAACAGUUUGAGCCUGAAAGGGGACGAACCCGGAAGUGAUACGUCACACCGAGAACAGCGAUGGCAGCGCUCCAUACGGCCACCAUACAAAGUCCUUCAAAGCGAUAGAUCGAGCGCAAGGGAGGAGAUGCAAGUUUUUGAAGAGUUGGAGGAAGAAGAGGAGGUUGGAAUUUUAUGUUGGACCUAACAUGCAUUAGCCAGACGCUAAUCAGGAUGCAAACAAUGUGCCUGGACUACCUGACAUGGAAUGGAGACAAGACCCAUCGAGAUUACAAGAUUGAUUCACUGGAGAGGCAGAUAGGGAUGGAUGCGUCAUAAUAUGCAUUUGCUGCUGCUGUGCAGAAGUGGCUACGCUAUGUCUCAGACUGCGUUGGUGGCAAAGUUCGCAGCGAAGCUCGUCAGACUGAAGAGGUGGCUUAAGUUUGGAAUAAGUUUGCUGAGUGUUAAUGAAGUUUUCUAUUGUUGUGAUUCAAUUAAAAAUAAUUUGAAAACAAGCCAAGUUUUAAUUUUUGUUAUAUAUUUAUUGUUACAUUUUAUUUAGUUUAGGGUGACCAAACGUCCUCUUUUGCCCGGACAAAUCCUGCUUUCACGUAGUAUCCUCAUCGUCCGGGCGGGUUUUACAAAUUCAUAAAAAU